rnacentral:rRNA from 1 species
GCUAACUACGUGCCAGCAGCCGCGGUAAUACGUAGGGGGCAAGCGUUGUCCGGAAUUAUUGGGCGUAAAGCGCGCGCAGGCGGUUUCUUAAGUCUGAUGUGAAAUCUUGCGGCUCAACCGCAAGCGGUCAUUGGAAACUGGGAGGCUUGAGUGUAGGAGAGGAAAGUGGAAUUCCACGUGUAGCGGUGAAAUGCGUAGAGAUGUGGAGGAACACCAGUGGCGAAGGCGACUUUCUGGCCUAUAACUGACGCUGAGGCGCGAAAGCGUGGGGAGCAAACAGGAUUAGAUACCCUGGUAGUC